CGGCGGCGGCGCCCUCGCCGCUCACCACUACUUCACCCAUUUUCCUUAACCGGAAAACCCAAACCUAGUACUUUCCCUAUAAUUGGAUCUAAGACGAAUCG